rnacentral:lncRNA from 1 species
GCUAAAUGAAUAGCAGAUCAACGAAUUUGUUACUGGAGCAACGGCCCACCCCGUGUAACAGUCGAAGCCCAGACGGGACUGAUGAGAAAUCAUGAUGUCUUUCUCCUCUAUGUGCAAGGAUGAUGGUUCUGGUUGUGUACUCAAUAUAUAAGGUGAGUUGGCUGUUGCUUGAUUUAAAACUGGGACAAUAGGUUUCUUGAUUUGUCCCGUGGCAACCUUUUUUCUGUCAGGUUGUUUAUGAUAAGUUGAUAACACUGAGAUUAUCUAGAAAGGAUUCAGAGUUUUGCUGAAUCCAGAUUACCACACACAUGAUGCAAAAUUAACAACCAGGACUUUGAAAGAUGAAUGACGGUGCUUAUUACGUGGUAGAAAUCAAAUAUCAAAAGAGAAUAUAAUGUUUGCGAAGGUGUGUGUACUGUGUACUGUACAAGCAUACUGAUUGAUGUGUUUUUUCUGUUGUUCCUUGUUGUUCCCUCAUGCAGCUGUGUCCAUAGAUAUUGAUCGAUAACUUAUUGCUUUGCCAAUUGCAGGAGAGGGGAGAGACAUACGGGCUGGGAGUUCUGGAUUUGAUGUCGUCACACUGAUCAAUUCCACCAUGCCAGACGAGAAUCAUGUCGCCAUCGAUGCCUUCCACAGUCCAGAAGGACUCUAGGAACAGCACCUCGGCUGGCUCGCCAUGUCUCCCAGUGGUUCGCCUUGUGCCUCCGGCAGACCAUUAGGACCUAAGGAAGAGCACCUCGCCUGACUCGCCAUGUGUCCCGGUGGCCCUUACCUCUGCACUGGCAUAUGGUGGUCUCUUCCUUCUUGAUGUUCAAUUCAUAAGCAUGAUCAUGUUGUGUGAUAGCGUGUACAUUUGCUCGGAAGAAAUAGGUGUCUGCUUAUUUCCUUUGUUUAGGUGUUCUUCUUUGUUUUGUUACUCCUACAUCCAUAUGCCACCAAGAGAUUACGCUAUAUGCUGGCUAUGGGACAGGUAGUUAGUUCACGUGGACUGCCAUACCCCAUACCUUCAUGUUUUAGUAUCUAUAUAUGCAUUAAGGAUAUACAAUUGUUCACUUUGUGUUUCUCUAUCAUUCAGGCCAUGGUACUGUUUGUAUUGUAUGCGACAAUUUACUUCUGUGAAGGCAUCAGGCAACGGUGAUGAACCCCUCUUAUCGUGAUGGUGUGAGGUGAUGGUAAAUCGAUGAUGAUGAGCAGAUUAAUAUGAAUGAAACUUUGCCCCAUGAUCUUCGUGAAGAAAUAAAUGGGUUGGGAAUUAGGUACCAUUACUGUACCCGAUCUUCAAUCUUCCACACCAAAUCUUCUAAUCUUGCCUGGCUUCAUCUCACACGCUGUUCUGGUAAUGAAUUAAAUUCAAAGACAAAUCAGUUUUGGGACUGCCUACUAGCAUAUCACUUCAAUAAAUUGAGGCAUGCAUAAAAGCCACUGUAUCUUCACAGAUGAAAUGCUCAUAUCACAAUGUAUUGUAGUGAUUGACAUGAUUUGUCAGAUUUACUUAACAUUUGAGUUGAUUAGCCAGUGCACGCUGCACCGUUUGCUUCAAAAACACACGAAGCAUAUGAGUAAUUAUUAUUUUAGAAAUGAAGAGGCCAUAU